AAUCCUUCACCAGGUAUAACCUCAGCCAAAUCGUGACAACCUCAUCCAUCAAUAAUCAGCUCCAAACAACCAAUAUCCAAAAACCCAAAUCCAUCAGCAGCGACCUGAACAAUAAAAUCCCUAGAAACAAUAGGCGAUUCAACCCCAUCAGAAAUCGACAAAAAAUCUAAUCCCCAGUUCAAACUAUUUCAGUAGUGACCCAAACCUGAACAAGUUUGUUUUUGCCCAAAAGUCUCCAUUUUGCUCGAAUUUGUACAUCCUCAUAUGAAUAUCAUGAUUUGUUAUUCAAAUCACUCUCGAAUUCUCUAGGAACAUAGUUAGGUGUCUUCAUUCAAAGUCUACCUAUACAAAUCUUGGGAUAAUUCAUAUAAUUUCAUACACAGUUGGGUGAUUUUUAUUGGUUCUUGAGUAUAAUUUGUUUUGAUCAAAAGACAUUAGUCCACCCAUUUCGAAAAGAGGUGAAAAAUCCAAAAUGGAGUACCAUUUUGCUGAUGAAAACCGAAGCAGGGGAUGGAAAUUUCAAAUUUCAAAAUCUCCUUUGAAAAUCCCCAAUUUACCCUCAAUUCGUCUUCUAUAUAAAGACCCUUGGGGUCACUAUUUUUGGGGGUCUUUUUUCUCUUCUUUCAGGGGGUUUUUGGUUUGGAAAUUGGAGUUGGAGAUUCUAGAGUUGAAACUAGGUUUCAAAAUUUUGGGUUGAAAAUUUUGGGGGUUUUCAGAAAAACUAAGGAAGAAAAGGAGUUGGAACAUUUCUGAGAGAAUCUCUGGUUCAGAAAAACUUAGAGAGAUGAGAAAAGAAAAAAGACAGAUUCUUGAAAAAUUCAGUGUCAAAUAGAAAUUCUGUUCUUGAUUCAAAAGUUUGUUAGCUAAAUUAGAGUGUCGAGUUGAUGGCAAAAAAGAUUUUCGGUGGUCGUGAUCUCCGUACUAGUUCGUCAUCUCAUUUUUCUGCCCCGAAGGAGUCCAAACGGACUCUAUGCUCAUUAGUGCAUUAUCAAAGUGGGCCAUUGAGGCCAAUCCCUCAUGAGUCAAUUUCAAAGGUCCUCUAGAAAUUAAUCUCGUAAUGCACGGAUACGAAAAGUCGAAAGAGGGAAAAUGGAUUAAAGCCCCACAUUUGAAGCAACCAAGAAACUUGAAUGUCUUAGUUUCCAUUUCAUUUAUUUAUUUAUUUAAGUCAUUUAUUAUUGUUGUCUUUAUUUUUUAGUUAUUUAUUUUUAAUCAUUCAUAUGGGCCAAGAAGCCAAAGUUGUAUUUAGUACAGGUGGAGCAAGAUUCGAGUCAAAGGAUCAAAAACUAGAUUAGGACAGGUGAAAUAGGUCAAAGGCUCGAUUAGACUAGGACAGGUUUUGUUGGUUUGGGCCCAAUGACCUAAAUCGUUUACUUUCUCCUCCCUUUCCCCAUUUAUGUGUUUACUUUCUUAUUUCA